GGGGAUGUACAGGUUUCGACGGUUGUGGGAACCCCUGUGCUGCAGGUGAGUGUGAAGGUGCUCUGAACUGACAAAAAAAUAACUGCAAAACGUAAAGAAGACGAAAUGUCUGAAAACGAACAGUUCGCUCUUGCUGCGUAAGUAGCUGAGCCAGAACUCUUGCUAUGCUGUUCCGAAGAGUAGGAAGUUCUGACGCCAACCGGGACUUGGUGUAUAUUGUUUCUAGCCAAUAUAUACGACAUUUAGUUAGAAUACGGAAGAGACGCUUGUAAUGCUGCUACCUGUUCCCGACAAUUACCUCGCAUUACUAAACUUGUAGAUGUACUUGGAUUACACUUUCGGACGGGAGUUCGAUUCUCCCCAUCUCCA
rnacentral:tmRNA from 1 species